CCACGCCCCAGCCGUAGCUACCCAAGCUUCGCCGCAGGCGCCUAGGGUGGCUCAGGUGUCGGCGCGGCUGCUGGUCUGGCAGCUGGAGGAUCGGGGGCCCCGCCCCCCCAGACUCCAGUCCCAGCGGCCCCCUUCAGGACAGAGUGGGCGUCUCUCCACGGCAGCCUCUGUAGGGACCCCGAGGUCGCAAUCGUGGAAGUCUCAGACCCAAAGCAUCCCCACAGAGUAUGGUGACAUCUACAGCCAUAAACGCACGGUCCUGGUACCUGGCCACCUUGGUGUUGAGUUCCAGCACAAGGCACGCAGCCUUUACAGGCAUGGCUACAUACAGCCCAAUAUCAGGAAAGGAAAUGUCCUUUAAAGCCCCUCCCGCUGGACAUGGUGGCGCUCGCCUGUGAUCCCAGCCCUGGGGAACCUGAGGCAGGAGGAUUGCUGCAAGUUCAAGGCUCACCUGGACUACAUAGUGAGACCUUGUCUCAAAAAACAAUAAAUAUGGCUGGGGAUGUAGCUCAGCUGCACAGUGCCUGCCUGGCAAGCUCGAGGUCCUGAGUGAGAUCCCUGGUGUGUGGGGGGGCUUAUCUUUCCUAGGUUUCUUAUAAUAUAAAACUCCUGAGGAAACACUGACCAUCUAAAAAUUACAAGUAAGUAACUUCCAAGUAAAGUGCCAGUAAGCAUCAUGACACCCCAAUUCACUGAACCCCAGGAGCAACUUAUUUUUUUGGUACCGGGGAUCGAACUCAGGACCUUGGACUUUUGAAGCAGGCGCAGUGCCGCUGAGCUACAUCCCGGCCCUUCCAGGAGUGACUUGUGUGCAUAAAAAGGUAUCCAGAGUCGCCCUCGGGACCCUGCAUGCCAUCUGUUUGCUUUACAAUAAAUUCUGCC
rnacentral:lncRNA from 1 species